UUGUGGGGUGCUCGAGUGGCGAACGGGUGAGUAACACGUGAGUAACCUGCCCUUGACUUUGGGAUAACUCCAGGAAACUGGGGCUAAUACCGGAUAGGAGCUCCUGCUGCAUGGUGGGGGUUGGAAAGUUUCGGCGGUUGGGGAUGGACUCGCGGCUUAUCAGCUUGUUGGUGGGGUAGUGGCCUACCAAGGCGGCGACGGGUAGCCGGCCUGAGAGGGUGACCGGCCACAUUGGAACUGAGAAACGGUCCAA
rnacentral:rRNA from 1 species